rnacentral:rRNA from 1 species
GUAGCUUGCUAUGAUAUAACUUAGUGGCAGACGGGUGAGUAAUGUAUAGGAAUCUACCUAGUAGUACGGGAUAAUUGUUGGAAACGACAACUAAUACCGUAUACGCCCUACGGGGAAAUUUAUUGCUAUUAGAUGAGCCUAUAUUAGAUUAGCUUGUUGGUGGGGUAAUGGCCUACCAAGGCAAUGAUCUAUAGCUGAUCUGAGAGGAUGAUCAGCCACACUGGAACUGAGAUACGGUCCAG